rnacentral:rRNA from 1 species
ACGGGAGGCAGCAGUGGGGGAUAUUGCACAAUGGAGGAAACUCUGAUGCAGCAACGCCGCGUGAGGGAAGAAGGUUUUCGGAUUGUAAACCUCUGUUUUUAGUGAAGAAACAAAUGACGGUAGCUAAGAGGAAGCCACGGCUAACUACGUGCCAGCAGCCGCGGUAAUACGUAGGUGGCAAGCGUUGUCCGGAUUUACUGGGUGUAAAGGGUGCGCAGGCGGGACUGCAAGUUGGAUGUGAAAUACCGAGGCUCAACCUCGGAGCUGCAUCCAAAACUGUAGUUCUUGAGUGAAGUAGAGGCAAGCGGAAUUCCGAGUGUAGCGGUGAAAUGCGUAGAUAUUCGGAGGAACACCAGUGGCGAAGGCGGCUUGCUGGGCUUUAACUGACGCUGAGGCACGAAAGCAUGGGUAGCAAACAGGAUUAGAUACCCUGGUA